GAAGAAAAGAAAAAGAAAGGGGGAGAGGAAGAAUAGUAAUCUUUUAUUAAUCUUUCCUGAUCCUUCUCUUUUCCUUCUUUUCGAGUUUUCUUUCCCUCUCCCCCUUUCCUCUUCUAUC
rnacentral:ribozyme from 13 species